rnacentral:rRNA from 1 species
GAUACGGGUUGACUUGAGGAAGGUAGGGGAGAAUGGAAUUCCUGGUGGAGCGGUGGAAUGCGCAGAUAUCAGGAGGAACACCAGUGGCGAAGGCGGUUCUCUGGGCCUUUCCUGACGCUGAGGAGCGAAAGCGUGGGGAGCGAACAGGCUUAGAUACCCUGGUAGUCCACGCUGUAAACGGUGGGUACUAGGUGUGGGGUCCAUUCCACGGGUUCCGCGCCGUAGCUAACGCUUUAAGUACCCCGCCUGGGGAGUACGGCCGCAAGGCUAAAACUCAAAGGAAUUGACGGGGCCCCGCACAAGCGGCGGAGCAUGCGGAUUAAUUCGAUGCAACGCGUAGAACCUUACCUGGGUUUGACAUGGAUCGGGAGUGCUCAGAGAUGGGUGUGCCUCUUUUGGGGUCGGUUCACAGGUGGUGCAUGGCUGUCGUCAGCUCGUGUCGUGAGAUGUUGGGUUAAGUCCCGCAACGAGCGCAACCCUUGUUCACUGUUGCCAGCACGUUAUGGUGGGGACUCAGUGGAGACCGCCGGGGUCAACUCGGAGGAAGGUGGGGAUGACGUCAAGUCAUCAUGCCCCUUAUGUCCAGGGCUUCACGCAUGCUACAAUGGCUGGUACAGAGAGUGGCGAGCCUGUGAGGGUGAGCGAAUCUCGGAAAGCCGGUCUCAGUUCGGAUUGGGGUCUGCAACUCGACCUCAUGAAGUCGGAGUCGCUAGUAAUCGCAGAUCAGCAACGCUGCGGUGAAUACGUUCCCGGGGCUUGUACACACCGCCCGUCAAGUCAUGAAAGUUGGUAACACCCGAAGCCGGUGGCCUAACCGUUGUGGGGGAGCCGUCGAAGGUGGGACUGGUGAUUAGGACUAAGUCGUAACAAGGUACCAAUCCCGCGG